AUUGAACGCUGGCGGCAGGCCUAACACAUGCAAGUCGAGCGGAUGAAGGGAGCUUGCUCCUGGAUUCAGCGGCGGACGGGUGAGUAAUGCCUAGGAAUCUGCCUGGUAGUGGGGGAUAACGUCCGGAAACGGGCGCUAAUACCGCAUACGUCCUGAGGGAGAAAGUGGGGGAUCUUCGGACCUCACGCUAUCAGAUGAGCCUAGGUCGGAUUAGCUAGUUGAUGGGGUAAAGGCCUACCAAGGCGACGAUCCGUAACUGGUCUGAGAGGAUGAUCAGUCACACUGGAACUGAGACACGGUCCAGACUCCUACGGGAGGCAGCAGUGGGGAAUAUUGGACAAUGGGCGAAAGCCUGAUCCAGCCAUGCCGCGUGUGUGAAGAAGGACUUCGGAUUGUAAAGCACUUUAAGUUGGGAGGAAGGGCAGUAAGUUAAUACCUUGCUGUUUUGACGUUACCAACAGAAUAAGCACCGGCUAACUUCGUG
rnacentral:rRNA from 1 species